GGUAACCAACUAGUUAUAGACCAGAGACCACCCCUAUCUCCCAUUAAUGUGGGAUUUGUGUAACAUUCUCCCCCUCUUGUUUGUGCAUGCCUCAUUGCACCAGCUCCGUACUCAUGAAGGCGAAGGACCCACCACGUUCUAGAUCUACAUCGAUCUUGGUGUCUCUCAUGAGAGCUCAAAUGAGUGAAGAGUAGAGUUGGCUCUGAUACCACUUGUUACGGGUUAGGUCUCCAUCCCAAAAGGCUAACCCAUUAGGAGGUAACCAACCCAUUUAUAAAUCUAAGACCUCCCCAAUCUCCACCAAUGUGAGGCUUCUGUAAUGCUUAG
rnacentral:misc_RNA from 1 species